CCUACGGGAGGCUGCAGUGGGGAAUAUUGGACAAUGGGGGGAACCCUGAUCCAGCCAUGCCGCGUGUGUGAAGAAGGCCCUCGGGUUGUAAAGCACUUUCAGUGAGGAAGAACGCCUGGUGGUUAAUACCCAUCAGGAAAGACAUCACUCACAGAAGAAGCACCGGCUAACUCCGUGCCAGCAGCCGCGGUAAUACGGAGGGUGCGAGCGUUAAUCGGAAUUACUGGGCGUAAAGCGCGCGUAGGUGGCUUGAUAAGCCGGUUGUGAAAGCCCCGGGCUCAACCUGGGAACGGCAUCCGGAACUGUCAAGCUAGAGUGCAGGAGAGGAAGGUAGAAUUCCCGGUGUAGCGGUGAAAUGUGUAGAGAUCGGGAGGAAUACCAGUGGCGAAGGCGGCCUUCUGGACUGACACUGACACUGAGGUGCGAAAUCGUGGGUAGCAAACAGGAUUAGAUACCCUGGUAGUC
rnacentral:rRNA from 1 species